UCGGAGACAGCUCCGGCGGGAACAUAGUCCACCAAGUCGCCGUCAGAGCCGGCGAGGAAAACUUAUCUCCAAUGCGAUUAGCCGGCGCAAUUCCAAUCCAUCCAGGCUUCGUGCGGUCCUAUCGGAGCAAAUCGGAGCUAGAACAAGAGCAAACGCCGUUUUUAACAUUAGAUAUGGUGGAUAAAUUUCUAGGGUUAGCUUUACCUGAAGGGAGCAAUAAGGAUCAUCCAAUAACAUGUCCAAUGGGAGAGCCGGCGCAGGCGGUUGAGGAGCUUAAAUUGCCG
rnacentral:lncRNA from 1 species